rnacentral:rRNA from 1 species
GUGCCUUCGGGAACCGUGAGACAGGUGCUGCAUGGCUGUCGUCAGCUCGUGUUGUGAAAUGUUGGGUUAAGUCCCGCAACGAGCGCAACCCUUAUCCUUUGUUGCCAGCGGUCCGGCCGGGAACUCAAAGGAGACUGCCAGUGAUAAACUGGAGGAAGGUGGGGAUGACGUCAAGUCAUCAUGGCCCUUACGACCAGGGCUACACACGUGCUACAAUGGCGCAUACAAAGAGAAGCGACCUCGCGAGAGCAAGCGGACCUCAUAAAGUGCGUCGUAGUCCGGAUUGGAGUCUGCAACUCGACUCCAUGAAGUCGGAAUCGCUAGUAAUCGUGGAUCAGAAUGCCACGGUGAAUACGUUCCCGGGCCUUGUACACACCGCCCGUCACACCAUGGGAGUGGGUUGCAAA